GAUGGACGCUGGCGGCGUGCCUAAUACAUGCAAGUCGAGCGAACAGACGAGGAGCUUGCUCCUCUGACGUUAGCGGCGGACGGGUGAGUAACACGUGGAUAACCUACCUAUAAGACUGGGAUAACUUCGGGAAACCGGAGCUAAUACCGGAUAAUAUAUUGAACCGCAUGGUUCAAUAGUGAAAGACGGUUUUGCUGUCACUUAUAGAUGGAUCCGCGCCGCAUUAGCUAGUUGGUAAGGUAACGGCUUACCAAGGCAACGAUGCGUAGCCGACCUGACAGGGUGAUAGGCCACACGGGAGGUGAGACAGGGUCAAGACUCCUACGGGAGGCAGCAGUAGGGAAUGUUCCGCAAUGGGCGAAAGCCUGACGGAGCAGCGCCGCGUGAGUGAUGAAGGUCUUCGGAUCGUAAAACUCUGUUAUUAGGGAAAAACAAAUGUGUAAGUAACUAUGCACGUCUUGACGGUACCUAGUCAGAAAGCCCCGGCUAACUACGUG
rnacentral:rRNA from 1 species